CCGCCACCACCAUCUCCUUCUCUUCCCUGAACCCGCGCCAUCUCCUUUCCUCACCCAUAAUCACGCACCACCAUCUCUCUCUCUCUCUCUCUCUCUCCCUCCCUCCCUGAUCACGCAGGAGUUGUCAACGAGACAUGGAAGUUUGGCGAAGGUGGUAGUUGGGUCGAUCUGUGGUGGGGGUUCUUCCUAGAGAAUUCAGCGACAAGUUUGGUUUAAAAAUAACCUAUUAAACCUGCUACCAUAGGUCAAAAG
rnacentral:lncRNA from 1 species